GGAAGUUCUCCCUAUCCUCUGGCUGCCUGAGAUAACUCGGAUGACUGAGGCCCUACCAAAUACACCAUGGUCAUGUGACUCAUGUGUCCGCAGCACACUCUUCAGCAGCAGCCCCUGAGUGCCUACUCCGUGCUUGGAACCGCUUAUAGAAGCACUUCGGCAAUGAAGAACAUUAUCUAUCAACAUGUUAUAUUACUCAAACGUUAUACAGUUUCUGCACUGUUAAAAUGUAUUAAAAGGGUGCCACUUUAA
rnacentral:lncRNA from 1 species